rnacentral:rRNA from 1 species
GUUAUCUAUAAGAAUGGUGAUACUAAUAACACGAAAGGCUACGAGCUACCCAAACUGCGUUAGUAGACGUUAAGCCGUAUGUAGCAAAAUAUGGGGAAAAAGUUUGGUUAGGGGUGAUAGGCUUAUCAAUUGGUCUGAUAUCUUGUUCUGGAAGAAAAAUAUUAAGUAUUUAGAAAAUUAAGAAAUGGUUAGGUUUCUUAAAAGCAUUAAAGAAAUUACGCCCACGCCUGAUGGUUUAACCACUUCUGGUUUUUUUGGCUGAGCAUUUAUACUUUACAAAUUAUGCGUUCUAUUCUGGGAUUUUUUAGAGUUCCUUAAUUAAAUUUUUAAUGAUAAUAUAAGUAACUUCUUAAUAUUUUGGUUAGGAACUCGGCAAAUUUUUGCUCAACUGUUUAACAAAAACAUAGCUAGCCGUGAUUAUGUCUAGUUUUUUCUGCUCAAUGGUUUCUAAAUAGCCGCAGUA